rnacentral:rRNA from 1 species
CGCUGGCGGCAGGCCUAACACAUGCAAGUCGAGCGGUAGCACAGAGAGCUUGCUCUCGGGUGACGAGCGGCGGACGGGUGAGUAAUGUCUGGGAAACUGCCUGAUGGAGGGGGAUAACUACUGGAAACGGUAGCUAAUACCGCAUAAUGUCGCAAGACCAAAGUGGGGGACCUUCGGGCCUCAUGCCAUCAGAUGUGCCCAGAUGGGAUUAGCUAGUAGGUGGGGUAACGGCUCACCUAGGCGACGAUCCCUAGCUGGUCUGAGAGGAUGACCAGCCACACUGGAACUGAGACACGGUCCAGACUCCUACGGGAGGCAGCAGUGGGGAAUAUUGCACAAUGGGCGCAAGCCUGAUGCAGCCAUGCCGCGUGUGUGAAGAAGGCCUUCGGGUUGUAAAGCACUUUCAGCGGGGAGGAAGGCGGUAAGGUUAAUAACCUCAUCGAUUGACGUUACCCGCAGAAGAAGCACCGGCUAACUCCGUGCCAGCAGCCGCGGUAAUACGGAGGGUGCAAGCGUUAAUCGGAAUUACUGGGCGUAAAGCGCACGCAGGCGGUCUGUCAAGUCGGAUGUGAAAUCCCCGGGCUCAACCUGGGAACUGCAUUCGAAACUGGCAGGCUAGAGUCUUGUAGAGGGGGGUAGAAUUCCAGGUGUAGCGGUGAAAUGCGUAGAGAUCUGGAGGAAUACCGGUGGCGAAGGCGGCCCCCUGGACAAAGACUGACGCUCAGGUGCGAAAGCGUGGGGAGCAAACAGGAUUAGAUACCCUGGUAGUCCACGCCGUAAACGAUGUCGAUUUGGAGGUUGUGCCCUUGAGGCGUGGCUUCCGGAGCUAACGCGUUAAAUCGACCGCCUGGGGAGUACGGCCGCAAGGUUAAAACUCAAAUGAAUUGACGGGGGCCCGCACAAGCGGUGGAGCAUGUGGUUUAAUUCGAUGCAACGCGAAGAACCUUACCUGGUCUUGACAUCCACAGAACUUUCCAGAGAUGGAUUGGUGCCUUCGGGAACUGUGAGACAGGUGCUGCAUGGCUGUCGUCAGCUCGUGUUGUGAAAUGUUGGGUUAAGUCCCGCAACGAGCGCAACCCUUAUCCUUUGUUGCCAGCGGUCCGGCCGGGAACUCAAAGGAGACUGCCAGUGAUAAACUGGAGGAAGGUGGGGAUGACGUCAAGUCAUCAUGGCCCUUACGACCAGGGCUACACACGUGCUACAAUGGCAUAUACAAAGAGAAGCGACCUCGCGAGAGCAAGCGGACCUCAUAAAGUAUGUCGUAGUCCGGAUUGGAGUCUGCAACUCGACUCCAUGAAGUCGGAAUCGCUAGUAAUCGUAGAUCAGAAUGCUACGGUGAAUACGUUCCCGGGCCUUGUACACACCGCCCGUCACACCAUGGGAGUGGGUUGCAAAAGAAGUAGGUAGCUUAACCUUCGGGAGGGCGCUUACCACUUUGUGAUUCAUGACUGGGGUGAAGUCGUAACAAGGUAACCGUAGGGGAACCUGCGGC